AAAUUGAUCCUUCAGUACAAAAGCUGAAAUUAACCCAUAAGACGAGAAGACCCUGUGGAGCUUCAAAACCAAAACCACUAAACAUGCCUCCUGGUUUUUUAGUUGGGGCGACUUUGGAGCAAAAAAAACCCUCCAAAACAUAAAUCUAUUUAUUAAGAACAACACACCAAAAAUAAUAUUAUAGACCCAGCAGUAUUAAUUUACUGUCUGAUCAAUGAACCAAGUUACCCCAGGGAUAACAGCGCUAUCCUCUUCUAGAGUCCUUAUCGACAAGGGGGUUUACGACCUCGAUGUUGGAUCAGGACACCC
rnacentral:rRNA from 1 species